rnacentral:rRNA from 1 species
UACGUAGGGCGCAAGCGUUAUCCGGAAUUAUUGGGCGUAAAGAGCGUGUAGGCGGCCCGGUAAGUCCGCUGUGAAAGUCGGGGGCUCAACCCUCGGAUGCCGGUGGAUACUGUCGGGCUCGAGUACGGAAGAGGCGAGUGGAAUUCCUGGUGUAGCGGUGAAAUGCGCAGAUAUCAGGAGGAACACCUAUUGCGAAGGCAGCUCGCUGGGACGUUACUGACGCUGAGACGCGAAAGCGUGGGGAGCAAACAGG